GACGAACGCUGGCGGCGUGCUUAACACAUGCAAGUCGAACGCUGAAGCUCAGCUUUUGUUGGGUGGAUGAGUGGCGAACGGGUGAGUAACACGUGAGUAACCUGCCUCCUUCUUUGGGAUAACGCCCGGAAACGGGUGCUAAUACUGGAUAUUCACUGGUCUUCGCAUGGGGGUUGGUGGAAAGGGUUUUUCUGGUGGGGGAUGGGCUCGCGGCCUAUCAGCUUGUUGGUGGGGUGAUGGCCUACCAAGGCUUUGACGGGUAGCCGGCCCGAGAGGGUGACCGGUCACAUUGGGACUGAGAUACGGCCCAGACUCCUACGGGAGGCAGCAGUGGGGAAUAUUGCACAAUGGGCGCAAGCCUGAUGCAGCGACGCCGCGUGAGGGAUGGAGGCCUUCGGGUUGUGAACCUCUUUCGCUCAUGGUCAAGCCGCAACAAUGGUUGUGGUGAGGGUAGUGGGUAAAGAAGCGCCGGCUAACUACGUG
rnacentral:rRNA from 1 species